rnacentral:rRNA from 1 species
UACGUAGGGUGCAAGCGUUGUCCGGAAUUAUUGGGCGUAAAGAGCUCGUAGGCGGUUUGUCGCGUCGAAUGUAAAAACCCGGGGCUCAACCCCGGGCCUGCAUUCGAUACGGGCAGACUAGAGUUCGGUAGGGGAGUCUGGAAUUCCUGGUGUAGCGGUGAAAUGCGCAGAUAUCAGGAGGAACACCGGUGGCGAAGGCGGGUCUCUGGGCCGUAACUGACGCUGAGGAGCGAAAGCAUGGGGAGCGAACAGG